rnacentral:rRNA from 1 species
UCCGGUUGAUCCUGCCGGACCCGACUGCUAUCAGAGUGGGACUAAGCCAUGCGAGUUAACGCAGCAAUGCGUGGCAUACGGCUCAGUAACACGUAGUCAACAUGCCCAGGGGACGUGGAUAACCUCGGGAAACUGAGGAUAAACCACGAUAGGCCAUGAUUUCUGGAAUGGAUCAUGGCUGAAACCUAUAUGGCCCCUGGAUUGGACUGCGGCCGAUCAGGCUGUUAGUGAGGUAAUGGCCCACCAAACCUGUAACCGGUACGGGCUCUGAGAGGAGGAGCCCGGAGAUGGGCACUGAGACAAGGGCCCAGGCCCUAUGGGGCGCAGCAGGCGCGAAACCUCUGCAAUAGGCGAAAGCUUGACAGGGUUACUCUGAGUGACGUCCGUUAAGGACGUCUUUUGGCACCUCUAAAAAUGGUGCAGAAUAAGGGGUGGGCAAGUCUGGUGUCAGCCGCCGCGGUAAUACCAGCACCCCGAGUGGUCGGGACGAUUAUUGGGCCUAAAGCAUCCGUAGCCGGUUCUGCAAGUCUUCCGUUAAAUCCACCUGCUCAACAGAUGGGCUGCGGAGGAUACUACAGGGCUAGGAGGCGGGAGAGGCAAGCGGUACUCAGUGGGUAGGGGUAAAAUCCUCUGAUCCACUGAAGACCACCAGUGGCGAAGGCGGCUUGCCAGAACGCGCUCGACGGUGAGGGAUGAAAGCUGGGGGAGCAAACCGGAUUAGAUACCCGGGUAGUCCCAGCUGUAAACGAUGCAGACUCGGUGAUGGGUUGGCUUUGAGCCAACCCAGUGCCGCAGGGAAGCCGUUAAGUCUGCCGCCUGGGGAGUACGGUCGCAAGACUGAAACUUAAAGGAAUUGGCGGGGGAGCACCACAAGGGGUGAAGCCUGCGGUUCAAUUGGAGUCAACGCCGGAAAUCUUACCGGGGGCGACAGCAGAGUGAAGGUCAAGCUGAAGACUUUACCAGACAAGCUGAGAGGAGGUGCAUGGCC